GAUGAACGCUGGCGGCGUGCCUAAUACAUGCAAGUCGAGCGAACGGACGAGAAGCUUGCUUCUCUGAUGUUAGCGGCGGACGGGUGAGUAACACGUGGAUAACCUACCUAUAAGACUGGGAUAACUUCGGGAAACCGGAGCUAAUACCGGAUAAUAUUUUGAACCGCAUGGUUCAAAAGUGAAAGACGGUCUUGCUGUCACUUAUAGAUGGAUCCGCGCUGCAUUAGCUAGUUGGUAAGGUAACGGCUUACCAAGGCAACGAUGCACAGCCGACCUGAGAGGGUGAUCGGCCACACUGGAACUGAGACACGGUCCAGACUCCUACGGGAGGCAGCAGUAGGGAAUCUUCCGCAAUGGGCGAAAGCCUGACGGAGCAACGCCGCGUGAGUGAUGAAGGUCUUUGGAUCGUAAAACUCUGUUAUUAGGGAAGAACAUAUGUGUAAGUAACUGUGCACAUCUUGACGGUACCUAAUCAGAAAGCCACGGCUAACUACGUG
rnacentral:rRNA from 1 species